rnacentral:lncRNA from 10 species
AACUCUUCUGGACCUUGGCCCAGGCAAAGAGUUAAUGACUAAGCCCUCAAAAGCAAAUGCAACAAAAACUAAAAUAGACAAAUGGUACUUAAUUUAACUACAAAGCUUCUUCACAACAAAAUAAAUAAUCAACAGUGAUCAGACAAGCUAAGAAUAAGAGAAAAUAAAUUAGUACAGCCAGUAUGGAAAACAGUAUGGCAAUUUCUCAAAGAACUAAGCAUAGAAUUACUAUUUGAUCUAGUAAUCUCACUAUUGGGUAUCUACCCAAAGGAACAGAAAUCAUUACAUUUAUAUCCUUAUUUAUAAGCAUUUUUUAAGUACAAGUACUUAUUUAAAGAUCUUUCCCAAGGAGGCUUUCUUAGGAAAAUAUUUUAAAAACACAUUUUGUAGGAAGUAAUACAUUUCUGUUAAAGUCUGUAUUUCAAUUCUGCGCCCACUGGGAUCUUAACAAGAUCUUAUUGGUGUAUGUGUUCAGUAUUUCAUUAUUCUGUUUGCAUAAAUAAUUUUACAUUUCUUUUAUUUUUUGAUACAUGGUGACUAAUACAAUCCUAUAGGUUUUGUGUUAAUCAUGUAGGUAAUAUUUUACUAU